GCAUCGGGGGCGCCUCCACCAUGGCCUGGACUCCUCUCCUCCUCGGCCUCCUCGCUCACUGCACAGGCUCCGUGGCCUCCUAUGAGCUGACUCAGCCGCCCUCGGUGUCAGUGUCCCCGGGACAGACAGCCAGGGUCACCUGUGGGGGGAACAGCAUUGGAAGUAGGAAUGUGCACUGGUACCAGCAGAAGCCCGACAGGCCCCUGUGCUGAUUAUACAUAGUGACAGCAACCGGCCCUCAGGGAUCCCUGAGCAACUCUCCGGUUCCAACUCCGGGAACACAGCCACCCUGGCCAUCGGCGGGGCCCAGGCUGGGGACGAGGCUGACUAUUACUGUCAAAUGUGGGACAGCAGUAGUGAUCAUCUCACGGUGACACAGGCAGAUGGGGAAGAAGAUCCCGCAUCUGACACGGAGAUUCAACUGCAGCCGCUGCGUGGCUGGAUGUGGGCCGGCCACUUCCACCUCCCGGACGCGCUCCACCUCGGAGACAUCAGAGAGGAAAUGAAACGCAAAUGA